rnacentral:rRNA from 1 species
GACGAACGCUGGCGGCGUGCUUAACACAUGCAAGUCGAACGGAAAGGCCCUGCUUUUGUGGGGUGCUCGAGUGGCGAACGGGUGAGUAACACGUGAGUAACCUGCCCUUGACUUUGGGAUAACUUCAGGAAACUGGGGCUAAUACCGGAUAGGAGCUCCUGCUGCAUGGUGGGGGUUGGAAAGUUUCGGCGGUUGGGGAUGGACUCGCGGCUUAUCAGCUUGUUGGUGGGGUAGUGGCUUACCAAGGCUUUGACGGGUAGCCGGCCUGAGAGGGUGACCGGGCACAAUGGGACUGAGAUACGGCCCAGACUCGUACGGGAGGCAGCAGGGGGGAAUAUUGCACAAUGGGCGCAAGCCGGAUGCAGCAACGCCGCGUGCGGGAUGACGGCCUUCGGGUUGUAAACCGCUUUCGCCUGUGACGAAGCGUGAGUGACGGUAAUGGAUAAAGAAGCACCGGCUAACUACGUG